rnacentral:rRNA from 1 species
UACGUAGGGUGCGAGCGUUGUCCGGAAUUACUGGGCGUAAAGCGUGCGUAGGUGGUUUGUUAAGUCUGUUGUGAAAGCCCCGGGCUCAACCUGGGAAUGGCAAUGGAUACUGGCAAGCUAGAGUGCGGUAGAGGGUAGUGGAAUUCCCGGUGUAGCGGUGAAAUGCGUAGAGAUCGGGAGGAACACCAGUGGCGAAGGCGGCCAACUGGACGAGUACUGACGCUGAGACACGAAAGCGUGGGGGAGCAAACAGG